AUACGGAGGGUUCAAGCGUUAAUCGGAUUUACUGGGCGUAAAGCGUGCGUAGGCGGCUUGUUAAGUCAGAUGUGAAAGCCCCGGGCUCAACCUGGGAACUGCAUUUGAUACUGACAGGCUAGAGUAUGGUAGAGGGAAGUGGAAUUCCGCAUGUAGCGGUGAAAUGCGUAGAUAUGCGGAGGAACACCAGUGGCGAAGGCGACUUCCUGGACCAAUACUGACGCUGAGGUACGAAAGCGUGGGGAGCAAACAGGAUUAGAUACCCCUGUAGUCC
rnacentral:rRNA from 1 species